GACGAACGCUGGCGGCGUGCUUAACACAUGCAAGUCGAACGAAGUGGCGAACGGGUGAGUAACGCGUAAUCAACCUGCCCUUCAGAGGGGGACAACAGUUGGAAACGACUGCUAAUACCGCAUACUGAAGGAGGGGAUUGCGUCUGAUUAGCUAGUUGGAGGGGUAACGGCCCACCAAGCCUUCGAUGGAUAGGGGUUCUGAGAGGAAGGUCCCCCACAUUGGGACUGAGACACGGUCCAAACUCCUACGGGAGGCAGCAGUGGGGAAUCUUCCGCAAUGGACGAAAGUCUGACGGAGCAACGCCGCGUGAGUGAUGACGGCCUUCGGGUUGUAAAGCUCUGUUAAUCGGGACGCGGUACCGGAAUAGAAAGCCACGGCUAACUACGUGCCAGCCGCCGCGGUAAUUC
rnacentral:rRNA from 1 species